CCAUCAGGUAAAAACCCUAAUUCAUAGAAACGGCUACAAACCCUAACCCCAGUCCUCUUUAUAAACCCUUCUACUCAUACUCUUCUCGCAUCAGCCCCAAAACUAUCGACCUUUCAGUAUAGGUUUAUUCCUUUUUAAUUUUUUUUUAUUUGGAAAUGGUUUUAGCUUAGUUUGUUUGGAAUGAAUUGUGUCGAUGAUGAUAAAUCAAAGGCUUGUUUCUCAGAAACAUUCGCAGUGGCCGCCUGAGAGCUUUCGCCUUUCGCCGGGCUUGAGAGCUUCUGCUGUUUUGCUCCUUCCUUGGAUGUCUGAGACUUUUUUUAACCCCGUAUGGCCGCCUGAGAGCUUUCGCUUUUCGCCGGGCUUGAGAGCUUGUGCUGCUUUUAUCCUUCCUUGGAUGUCUGAGACCUUUUAUUAUACCUUUAUAAUUGUUUCACAUUUUAAAUAUAAUUUGUGAUUGAAAUCCAGUUAUAUUCGGUGAAAAGGAGUUUUUAAAUUGAUGUAAAUGUGUUGAUGAUGACAAAUUCAAAGGCUUGUUUCUCAAAAACAUUCGCAGUGGCCGCCUAAGAGCUUUCGCCUUCGCCAGGCUCGAGAGAUUGUGCUGCUUUAUUCCUUGGAUGGAUGUCUGAAACUUAUAAAAUUUACUUGAUGGUUCUCAAAUGUAAUUGGAUGCCCGAUUUAUAUAAGAUAACCUGAUUUGAGUGAUACGUGUUUAAUUCCUUUUGUUUACUUGUAUAUGAUGAAGAGAGAUGGGAAUUCAGCUAAAUCUACUCCGUUAGAUGGGAAGUGGUUUAUAGAAUAAAAGAAUUUCAUUCCUAAAUGUUGCUUAGUCAUCUGGAAUUUGAUUCUAAUAAUAAUAUUAUUUUAUUUUCGAUUGAUAUAA